UGCUUUACACAUGCAAGUCGAACGGUAACAGGCCUUCGGGCGCUGGUGACGAGUGGCGAACGGGUGAGUAAUGCAUCGGAACGUGCCCAGUCGUGGGGGAUAACGCAGCGAAAGCUGUGCUAAUACCGCAUACGAUCUGUGGAUGAAAGCGGGGGACCUUCGGGCCUCGCGCGAUUGGAGCGGCCGAUGUCAGAUUAGGUAGUUGGUGGGGUAAAGGCUCACCAAGCCAACGAUCUGUAGCUGGUCUGAGAGGACGACCAGCCACACUGGGACUGAGACACGGCCCAGACUCCUACGGGAGGCAGCAGUGGGGAAUUUUGGACAAUGGGCGCAAGCCUGAUCCAGCAAUGCCGCGUGCAGGAAGAAGGCCUUCGGGUUGUAAACUG
rnacentral:rRNA from 1 species